UUGAAUCUGAAUUUGAAG
rnacentral:snRNA from 1 species